rnacentral:rRNA from 1 species
CAGUCGCCGCGGGAAUACGUAGGGUGCAAGCGUUAAUCGGAAUUACUGGGCGUAAAGCGUGCGCAGGCGGUUUGUUAAGACAGAUGUGAAAUCCCCGGGCUCAACCUGGGAACUGCAUUUGUGACUGGCAAGCUAGAGUCUGGCAGAGGGGGGUGGAAUUCCGCGUGUAGCAGUGAAAUGCGUAGAUAUGCGGAGGAACACCGAUGGCGAAGGCAGCCCCCUGGGCCAACACUGACGCUCAUGCACGAAAGCGUGGGGAGCAAACAGGAUUAGAUACCCGUGUAGUCCCUGUCUCUUAUAC